AUAAUAGAUUUUAAUUUCUACACUUCUACAGUGACACAUUAAUACAUAAUUAUUAUAUCUGUAAUUGAAACAACUAUCAAUACUAAUAGGAUACUCGAUUAGAUUCAAAGACUUGGGUCCAAACUCCAUUUCUUGUCCAUUUGUCCCAAACAUUUAUAUGCAAAAAAAGGAAAUAAAUGAUGUAUUAACUUCUGGGGUUAAUAUGUAUCUUAUUUCGGUGUUCCUCCAGGUAGAAGUGUUUGCUGAACUCUGAGAAGUUUUAGCCGGAACCCGACCUGCUUUGCGCAACAAGACGACAGUGUUCAAAUCUCUGGGAAUGGGGAUACAAGAUGCGGUCGCUGCUAAGCUCGUGUUUGACAAGUGGAAAAGCAGCCAGUGACGUAACGAAUCACCAUCUGCCACACAGAAAACAACUCGAAUUUCAAGAACAGAACACAAGACAUGAAGUAAAAUCUGUUUUAACAGAUAAAAUGAACUGAUUAACACUUGUAUGAAAUCACUAAAGCAUGGAACAAAAGACACUGAUUUUCAUUUGCACAGAAUAAUAUUCAUAAGUUGUAGUUGGAAGAUGGAAGAAAACAAUAAAAACGGGACCCUAAAAGUUUCACACCUUCUUGGGAGGGGCUCUCGACUUCUUUUUAGUGCACGAGUCACUUCCUGUGGUCUACUCUUCAGUAAAUGGAUGUGAACGGCAAGAUCUUUCUCCACCUCCUAUUCAGGCUUAAUACAAUGCUGCGUCGGAAUAAAAACGUAAUCCUUCACGAUGAAUGCGUGAGUCAAUGCAAACAAAAGCCAAAUUCGGUUGUGUACUUUGGAGUGCUCCAUCACAGAGAGGCGCUUUCUCCCCUCCCGCUCCAGUGUAACAUUACUGAACAAUAUUUGACCCAAAUAUGUACACUAAAUAAUGAAUAAAAAGGAAUGUUUCCCAAAAUUUCCCCUUUGGGAUCAUUUAAGUGCUAUUGGUCCGUCAGUAACUUCUUAAUUGAAGGGUUUGACCUUAAAUCUGGGUUACAGUUACAU